rnacentral:rRNA from 1 species
GGCGGACGGGUGAGUAACACGUGAGAAUUUGCCUUUAGGAGGGGGACAACAAUUGGAAACGAAUGCUAAUACCCCAUAUGCUUUCACGAGUAAAAUGGAUUUUAUUAUCUGCCUAAAGAGAAGCUCGCGGCUGAUUAGCUUGUUGGUAAGGUAAAAGCUUACCAAGGCGACGAUCAGUAUCUGGUUUGAGAGGACGAUCAGACACACUGGAACUGAGACACGGUCCAGACUCCUACGGGAGGCAGCAGUGGGGAAUUUUCCGCAAUGGGCGAAAGCCUGACGGAGCAAUACCGCGUGAGGGAAGACUGCCUAUGGGUUGUAAACCUCUUUUUUCAGGGAGGAAUAAAAUGACGUGUACCUGAAGAAUAAGCAUCGGCUAACUUCGUGCCAGCAGCCGCGGUAAGACGGAGGAUGCAAGUGUUAUCCGGAAUCACUGGGCGUAAAGCGUCUGUAGGUGGUUUAAUAAGUCAACUGUUAAAUCUUGAGGCUCAACUUCAAAACUGCAGUCGAAACUAUUAGACUAGAGUAUAGUAGAGGUAAAGGGAAUUUC